ACGGAAGGCAGCAGUAGGGAAUCUUUGGCAAUGGGGGCAACCCUGACCGAGCAACGCCGCGUGAGUGAAGAAGGUUUUCGGAUCGUAAAGCUCUGUUGUAAGAGAAGAACGUGUGUGAGAGUGGAAAGUUCACACAGUGACGGUAACUUACCAGAAAGGGACGGCUAACUACGUGCCAGCAGCCGCGGUAAUACGUAGGUCCCGAGCGUUGUCCGGAUUUAUUGGGCGUAAAGCGAGCGCAGGCGGUUUAAUAGGUCUGAAGUUAAAUGCAGUGGCUUAACCAUUGUUCGCUUUGGAAACUGUUGGGCUUGAGUGCAGAAGGGGAGAGUGGAAUUCCAUGUGUAGCGGUGAAAUGCGUAGAUAUAUGGAGGAACGCCGGUGGCGAAAGCAGCUCUCUAGUCUGUAACUGACGCUGAGGCUCGAAAGCGUGGGGAGCAAACAGGAUUAGAUACCCUGGUA
rnacentral:rRNA from 1 species